rnacentral:rRNA from 1 species
AGGAUUCCCCUAGUAACGGCGAGUGAAGAGGGAAAAGCCCAGCACCGAAGCCUGCGGCAGUUUUGCUGUUAGGCAAUGUGGUGUUUGGGUCGGCUCGUGGGAUUGCCACUCCACUCGAAGUCCAGCAUUGAGUAUGGUCACUGGAUUUGGCCCAGAGAGGGUGAAAGGCCCGUACGGGUGGAGGUUCAGAAAUGUAAGGCAGUUCACCAGGCCGGCCUUAGAGUCGGGUUGUUUGAGAAUGCAGCCCAAAGUGGGUGGUAAACUCCAUCCAAGGCUAAAUACUAGCACGAGUCCGAUAGCGAACAAGUACCGUGAGGGAAAGUUGAAAAGUACUCUGAAGAGAGAGUAAACAGUACGUGAAACCGCAUGCAGGUAAACGGGUGGCGUCAAGCUGCAAGCCCAGAGGAUUCAGCCGGUUAGGGUGUUGUGUAUGCGCCUGGCGCAUCUAUCAGUCAGAGUAGUUGGGUAGUCCACUGGUAAACGGUGGGCCCGGCCGCAAGGUUGGGAUGUGUGUACCGGGUGGAUGCCGGAGCACGCUACCUAUCUAUGGACUGUCUAGCCGGUGCACUUUCUCUGUGGCUGACACCACGACCGGUGGCAUUGCCAGUCUGCUGUGUCCAAGUCGUAUUCGGUAGGUCCUCGUGGCCAACUGGGUGCGAUCACAGGCAAACUCAGUAUACGGCGUAAGGGUGCUUCGGUAUCUUUGCGUGUUAUCGGCUACUGGUUGUCAACGGGUUGCCUAGUGCUUGUUGUAACCGGCACUUGGGUGAUCUGGUGGGACAUGGUGGUAAGAAUAACUGUGCAAGGCACUGGAGUUAUCGGCCUCAAAUGCAUCCCAUGCCCAUGUUACAAGUGGUAAUGGCGGUGCCGUUGCUGUCUGCUCGGUGUUGGGUCUGAUUGUCGUGUCGCCUGCGCAAAGUGGGCCCGGCAGUGGCUCGGCUCGAGAUGGGCAGUGGAUGGUGUCGUUUGUAUGGGAUGUGGUGGGCCAAAUAGUCAGUGGUGUAGUGGUAGACGAGCUACCCGACCCGUCUUGAAACACGGACCAAGGAGUUUAACAUGUAUGCGAGUCAAUGGGCGUUACGAAACCCAAAGGCGCAGUGAAAGUAAAGCUCCGACUUGUCUCGGGGUGAGGUGAGAUCCUGUCGUUACUCGCAUCAGCCUAAUGCCAGCAUCAGGCUAAGAGCGGCGGGCGCAUCACCGGCCCGUCCCAUGAUGUGGUCAUUGGAUUUCUGCGGUCGUUGCUUCGGUGGCGGUCGUGGUGCCAGUGCGUCAUCGGGGCGGAGCAUGAGCAUACACGUUGAGAC